rnacentral:rRNA from 1 species
UACAGGGGGUGCAAACGUUGCUCGGAAUCAUUGGGCGUAAAGCGCACGUAGGCGGUUCGUUAUGUCGGAUGUGAAGGCCCUUGGCUUAACCGAGGAAGUGCAUCCGAAACUGGCGAGCUAGAGUACGAAAGAGGAUCGCGGAAUUCCCGGUGUAGAGGUGAAAUGCGCAGAUAUCAGGAGGAACACCGGUGGCGAAGGCGGGACUCUGGGCCGAUACUGACGCUGAGGAGCGAAAGCGUGGGGAGCAAACAGG